rnacentral:lncRNA from 1 species
CCAUAUACAUAGGUUAUACAUUGAUUAUACAUAUUUAUACACAUAUGAUACAUAAAUUAUGCAUAUAUUAUACCUCAACCGACUAAUUUUAGUUUAAGUGGUUAGGUGGGCUAUUUGGGUAAAUUCUUCUUAAAUAAAUUUAUACCAUGUUUGGUUGAUGGUGCCGUCAACGAAACAUGGUAUAAAUUUAAUUAAUCACAGUCUUAAUAAAGGAUAUCCCAUAUUAUCCAAUCAAACUCGGGAUUACAUUAUCCUACCUCACAAGUGGGAUAAAUUAGUCCCGGGAUUAUAAUCCCGAGCUAAUUUAAUCCGUGUACCAAACGACCCCUAAGUAUAUCACUAUAGCUAGAGUGGGAUUGGAGUAGCUAGCAGAGGUUGGGCUUUUCCCAAGGUAAUACCAAAUUUUUCCUCCAUGUCCAAAUCUUUAGGUGCAAUUCCACCUUGGAGCUUCCAGUUAAACGUAUUUAGCAAUGAACCUAGUGCUACUGGAACCAUCCUGAUAGCCAAAGGCAAUCCAGGGCAAAUUCUCCGACCAGCACCAAAUGGUAUGAGCUCAAAAUCCCGGCCUCGAACAUCUAUUUCCGACUCCCAAAACCUCUCUGGCUUAAAGUCCAACGGAUUUUCCCAUAGGUCAGAGUCGCGCCCAAUUGCCCACACAUUCACUAGAACUUGCGAGUCUUUUGGGACAAUAUAGCCACAAAGCUCAACAUCUUCCUCCACUUUGCGCGGGAUUAAGAAAGGAAGCGCCGGGUGUAUUCGUAAUGUUUCUUUCACCAUGCAUCGCAAGUAAGGUAGCUGUGCAAUAUCAGUUUCAUCUACUAGUUUGCCUCUGCCAAUCACAUGUGCAAGUUCUUCUUGGGCUUUCUCUAAAGUAUGUGGAUUCUUAAGUAGUUCCGCCACUGCCCACUCCAACGUAUUUGAUGUUGUAUCGGUCCCUGCUACAAACAAGUCCUGUAA